UCCCCUGUUUUCAAUUGAAGCCCUAAUUUUCAUUUUUGUUAAUAGGGGGUGUUUCUUUUCAUUUUCUUGGGCUAGGGGAUUAAAAACUAUGACACAUCAUCUUCUAUUCUUUUGUGUAAAUUUGUUUCGCCAAUUUUCCUUUUUCGGUCUUUUCUAUGUAUGUAAAUUGGCUUCCCUGUUUCAGUUGAAGCCCUUAAUUUCCAGUUUUGUUAAUAGGGAGUGUUUCUACAAUGCAGGGCUGACAAGCUUCGAACAAAAAAGGCAUCAGGAAAAAAAAAAAAGAGAAAAAAAGAAGCAAUGACGGGGCUUAACUCUUCAAUGACUUCUGGGAAGACAUAGGGUCAAUUAGGGACCAUCAUAUCCUUAUUUGGGGCAAACCUUGCCCUCGCCAAACAUCUGCAAAUAUUGCUACCAGGCUUUUGGGUUGCAGCAUGCAGGACUUGAGAUGUCAAGAUGUCAAACAACAACGCUGUCCCAACUGAGAGUGCAGGCCCAAACAAGGCCAAAAGCCAAUAUCGUGUUGU